AAUAAUUUUAAUUUUUACUCAUCAUAUUCAAUAACAAAAAAAUUCAAAUGCAUAACAAAAAUAUAUCCCUUAAAAUUACAACUUCCCACUUUUUUUUCCCACAAUGUCGCCUCCAAUCGAUUGGUCCUUCUGCUUUGGCUAAUUAGUGUUCCUUUUUAAUCAUUGGAAUCCCUUCAGAAAAAAAUAAGGUUGGAUAAGACAUGAUUGCAGAUUUGAAAAUACAAGGACUUGGGAAAGGAAAAUGAUAUGCAAUUGCUUGAAAAUUUCUGGGUUUCAUAAUUGAUCUCGCAAAUAAGUCGCAUAAUGUCGUAUAUUACAUCAUCGCAACUCGCAAGCCCAAAGUGAUUCGUAGUAAGGUGGAGACCUCCGAGAAGAAGGGUCUUAUGCGAUUAGGGCCGGGAUACAAUACGUCCAAUUGUGUCCAGUCUUAGGCGAGGAGUUCGUGGGCUACUGUUUACACAAGUUUUCAAGUGCAAUGUUGAAGUACAAAACCUAGAGAUGAGGAGUUUUAUGGAGGGAUAUGUUAUAUUUAGCUAAUAAUAACUUAGGUUUAUCAUUCCUGUAUCUCGUACGAUAGUUUUACUUUUGAUAUUUUGUUUAGAGUGACUUGGUUUUUAUGCACUUUAGUAAUGCUUUGGUUUUAAUUUGAUAUGUCGUUGCUUUCAAA